rnacentral:rRNA from 1 species
AUUGAACGCUGGCGGCAUGCUUUACACAUGCAAGUCGAACGGUAACAGGCCUUCGGGUGCUGACGAGUGGCGAACGGGUGAGUAAUGCAUCGGAACGUGCCCAGAGGUGGGGGAUAACGCAGCGAAAGCUGUGCUAAUACCGCAUGUGAUCUGAGGAUGAAAGCGGGGGACCAGGCAGCAAUGUUUGGCCUCGCGCCUUUGGAGCGGCCGAUGUCAGAUUAGGUAGUUGGUGGGGUAAAGGCCUACCAAGCCGACGAUCUGUAGCUGGUCUGAGAGGACGACCGGCCACACUGGGACUGAGACACGGCCCAGACUCCUACGGGAGGCAGCAGUGGGGAAUGUUGGACAAUGGGCGCAAGCCUGAUCCAGCAAUGCCGCGUGCGGGAAGAAGGCCUUCGGGUUGUAAACCGCUUUUGUACGGAACGAAAAGGCUCUGGCUAAUACCUGGGGCUGAUGACGGUACCGUAAGAAUAAGCACCGGCUAACUACGUG